GGGUCAAUGAUGAGUAAUUUUAUUGCCUUGAGGAGCAGUGAUGACUUAAAUAUCAUGUACAAUGGCAUGCCGCUGAGGCCC
rnacentral:snoRNA from 1 species